rnacentral:rRNA from 1 species
UACGGGGGGGGGCAAGCGUUGUUCGGAAUUACUGGGCGUAAAGGGCUCGUAGGCGGCCAACUAAGUCAGACGUGAAAUCCCUCGGCUUAACCGGGGAACUGCAUCUGAUACUGGAUGGCUUGAGUUCGGGAGAGGGAUGCGGAAUUCCAGGUGUAGCGGUGAAAUUCGUAGAUAUUAGGAAGAACACCAGUGGCGAAGGCGGCUCACUGGUCCGGUACUGACGCUGAGGUGCGAAAGCGUGGGGAGCAAACAGGG